AAUGCAAAAUGUUUUCUUGGGCUCAUUUUUUUUCGGAUUCAGGAAGAUUAAAACUUUUCUUUCUAAAUCUUUUCGACCAGUGCGGAGUUUUAUAUUUUACCAAUGACACUCAAAUGACACUAUUUAAAGCUAUUUUGUUUUAGGCUAUCGAUAUCAAGUCUUUAUCAAUGUCGAUUUCAUGAACAAUAAAAGCAAUACAUCUUUGAUUUUCACCAUGUGAAAUACGGAUUGGAUAGAUAAUGAUAUAAUUCUUCCGGGUUCAAACAAUUUAUAUACAGAUUACCUAGUACUGAUCAAUAGUUUAAAUUGAUAUAUACUUGCCACACGAUAGAGUUACUUUCUAUUUAGUUAAUGAUAACCGUGAUUUAAGUUUUUGGAUUUACGCUAUUUGUGUGUUUUAAUUUUUAGAUGAACUUAGCAAUGAUGUAAAUUAGCAUAUUUUCCUCAAAGCUUGGAUAAAAGUUACGCGUCUGUUUCAACAAUUUGGACUUAUUAUAGUGUGGUUAACUUAAACGUUCUGUAUGUAAUUUGUCAAGUCGCUCAUGAAAGAGUUAUGCACAAAACCACAGCGUUUCAUAAUGGAUAAUGGACAUUUGUUUUAAACAAAAACUUGUGCAAUGUUAGCUGUUGGUAAGAAAA